rnacentral:rRNA from 1 species
GACGAACGCUGGCGGCGUGCUUAACACAUGCAAGUCGAACGGAAAGGCCCUGCUUGCAGGGUACUCGAGUGGCGAACGGGUGAGUAACACGUGGGUGAUCUGCCCUGCACUUCGGGAUAAGCCUGGGAAACUGGGUCUAAUACCGGAUAGGAGCCAUUUUUAGUGUGAUGGUUGGAAAGUUUUUUCGGUGUAGGAUGAGCUCGCGGCCUAUCAGCUUGUUGGUGGGGUAAUGGCCUACCAAGGCGGCGACGGGUAGCCGGCCUGAGAGGGUGGACGGCCACAUUGGGACUGAGAGACGGCCCAGACUCCUACGGGCGGCAGCAGUGGGGAAUGUUGCACAAUGGGCGCGAGCCUGAUGCAGCGACGCCGCGUGGGGGAUGACGGCCUUCGGGUUGGAAACUCCUUUCGCUAAGGACGAAGCUUUUUGUGACGGUACCUAGAUAAGAAGCACCGGCUAACUACGUG